rnacentral:rRNA from 1 species
GAUGAACGCUGGCGGCGUGCUUAACACAUGCAAGUCGAACGGAAAGGCCCUGAUUUUGUGGGGUGCUCGAUUGGCGAAGGGGUGUGUAACACGUGUGUAACCUCCCCUUGACUUUGGGAUAACUCCACGAAACUGGGGCGAAUACCCGAUAGGAUCUCCUGCAGCAUGGUGGUGGUUGGAAAGUUUCGGCCGUUGGGGAUGGAAUCGCGGCUUAUCAGCUUGUUGGUGGGGUAGUGGCUUACCAAGGCUUUGACGGGUAGCCGGCCUGAGAGGGUGACCGGCCACAAUACGACUGAGAUCAGUCCCAGCCUCCAACAGGCGGCACCGGUCGAGAGUAUGACCCAGGCGCCGGAAGCCUGUAGCGGCAACGUCGCGUGCGGGAUCAGGGCCUUCGAGUUUUAAACCGCUUUCGACUUAGAGGUAGCGAGAGUGACGGUAAAGAGUAAGAAAGCACCGGCUAACUACGUG